GGUUCUGCCCAGGAACCCUAAGAUUGUGGGAGAAGUCUGGGAUCUUCUGAGUGAUAAUAUUCAUCUGUGUCAAAUGCAAACUAUUGGGCACAGCCCAGGAAAAGAGAAGGCUCUGAAACAAAUUGGCUGAAUGAAGAAAUCAAUCAACACACUGCUAUUGUGUUUAUCUGGGACCGUACUGCAAAUAGGGUGGAGAUGAAGACAAGUUCUCGCCCUCUGGCUACACUGGCACGUGGGAACAGCCUUCUCUUGGAGGACUGUUGCCAGACAGAGGUAUGUGGGCACCUAGGCAUUGCCAUUGACCUCAAGAUGAGA
rnacentral:lncRNA from 1 species